rnacentral:lncRNA from 1 species
CAUGAUUCAACUCCGUAAGCCCUUCAAUGAGUGUAAACAGAAACUUCUCUUGAAAUGUGGACCCCAUCUGCACACCAAAUCAAAUCAAAACUAAGAUGUCUAGUCACUCAGCUUUUCCAAUUAGCUCAUCACCAUAAACUUCACCCAUCAGAACCCCUGUAACAAAACUUAUCCAGAUCUGAACAAGAAAAGAGGUAAUUGCGCAAACAUUUGGUGUACAAUUUAGAAUUACCAGUGCAAGUUAUUGUGUGAAACUUGGUGCUGCCACAUUCCGGCUGCUGAUGGGGCUCCUAAAGGCGAUGGUGGAGGUGGCAGCGACACGCCGAAGAAUUCAGUGGAUCCGAGCUCGCCGGACGCGGACAACAAAUCAGAGCCGCUGAUGGGAAUCCUGGAUACAACGGUGGAGGCAUAGGCAACGUUUGAGGUGUCACCCUCAAACUCUCCAGUAUUAGGGUUCAUCGACUUCAUUAAAAUUGCCGUCUGGUUUAAUAAUUGCUCUUGGCCCUGGCGUAUUCCAGCCGUCGAUGGGUCUCCUAGAGGCGAUGGCAAAGGUGGAGGCAGCGCCGACAUGCCCCAGAAUUCGGCGGAUCUGAGCUCGCUGAACGCAACUGACGAAUUAAAGCAGCCGACGGGACUCCUGGAUACGACGGCUGAGGUGUAGGCAGCGUCAGCGUCUGAGAUGUCACCACCAAACUCUCCAUUACCAUAGAUCGUCUGCUUCUUUAAAGAUUCCAAGUGGUUUAGACCUUGCACGCUUUUUAGCUCUGGCGAAAACUUGGUGCUGCCAUAGUCCAGCUGCGUGAGGGUGCUCCUAGAGGCAGAGGCGAUGGUGGAGGCGGAGGUGACAUGCUGAAGAAUUCAGCGGAUCUGAGCUCGCCAGAUGUAGACGACGAAUCGGAGCCGCCAACAGGACUCCCGGAUACUACGGCGGAGGCGUAGGCAGCGUUUGAGGUGUCACCCCCAAACUCUCCAGCAUUAGGGUUCAUCAACUUCAUUAAAACUGCCGUCUGGUUUAAUAAUUGCUCUUGGCCCUGCCAUAUUCCAGCCGCCGAGGGGGCUCCUACAGGCAACGGCAUAGGUGGAGGCAACGGCGACACGCCCCAGAAUGCAGCGGAUCUGAGCUCACUAAAUGCAGAUGACAAAUCGGAGCCACCAACAGCACUCCUGGAUAUGACGGCGGAGGCGUAGGUAGCGUUUGAGGUGUCAUCGCCAAACUCUCCAUUACCAUAGAUUCUCUGCUUCUUUAAAGAUUUCGAGCGGUUUAGACCUUGCACGCUUUUUCGCUUUGGCGAAACUUGAUGCUGGCAUAUUCCAGCCACCGAUGGGGCUCCUAGAGGCGACGGCAGAGACGGAGGCGGUGGUGACACGCUGAAGAAGGCAGCAGAUUUGAGCUCGUCGGACGCAAAUGACAAAUUAGAGCAGCCGACGGGACUCUUGGAUACUACGGCGGAGGCGGAGGCGGAGGCAGCGUUUGAGGUGUCACCCCCAAACUCUCCAGCAUUAGGGUUCAUCGACUUCAUUAAAAUUGCCGUCUGGUUUAAUAAUUGCUCUUGGCCCUGCCAUAUUCCAGCUGCUGAUGAGGUUCCUAGAGUCAACGACAAAGAUGGAGGCAGCGGCGACUCGCCCCAGAAUGCAGCGGAUCUGAGCUCGCCAGAUCCGGACGACGAAUUGAAGCCGCCGACGGGACUCCUAGAUACGACGGUGGAGGCAGAGGCAGCGGUUGAGGUGUCACCCCCAAACUCUCCAUUACCAUAGAUUCUCCGCUUCUUUGAAGAUUCCGAGUGGUUGAGACCUCGCACGCUUUUUAGCUUACGACAAUUUUCUACUUCUUUCCAUAGCUUUUUCAAUUUCGAUAGGUCUGACAUCGUCUCCAAGGAAGGGCAAUAGAAGACUCUUAGAGAGCAAAGGGAUCCCAAUUCUUCAAGGCCACGAAUCUCGACUAAUGAAAAACAAUCUCGCAAACUUACCUUAUGUAGAUUCUUCAUGUGUGACAGAUCAAGUACUUCUGGAAGGAACUCACAUCCAUCCAUCUCUAAUAAUCUCAACCUUUUCAUUUCCAGCUGCAAGGGUGUGUCCAACUUUUUAAGCUCACAAAUCUCCAUACGGAGUUCCUCCGACUCCGCCUCAAAUAUACUAGAAAAUUCUAGCGAGCAUCUGUAGAAUGUCAAGAUUGACAAGUUUCUCAAAUUGGACAAAUCCGGUGAUGGUGUGGUCGUCAGAUCUCGAAGUUGUAACUCCCUUAAACUAGAUGGGAGCUGGGGUAAGAAUUCCCCAUUUUUGCAGGACAAUUUUAGUGUUCGAAGUUGAGAUAGGGUACCGAUGUUAGUGGGAAUAGUGGUGACAAGUGUUUCGUGUUGAGAUAGGGCACCAAUUCUAGUGGGAAUAAGGAGGGCUAUCCCAUAUCCCUCACGAGAACGACACCGUAUAUCCUCAUCAUAUUCCUCAAGAGCAAGGUAUUCCUCAAGGUCUUCCUCCUGCUGAAGUUCCUCCGGGUCAUAUGUCUCCAUCUCUGCGGAGGAACACCAGCAACUUUUCGGGCCCCAUCUCAGACAAGUCAAACUUUGGGGAAGCUCCGGCAAUUGUUUAAGCUCAGGACAUUUUUCUAGCUUAAGUGUUUGGAGAUUAGAGAGGCAACUUAUUGAGAUGGGUAAUCCGGAUAUACGUGUGUUUGACAAGUCUAGGAUCUUCAAACGGGACAGUUUCCCAAUUUCUUUAGAAAUUUCGCCGGUCAAAUUGCAACAUCCUCGAGCAUCUAACUCUUCAAGCUUCUCCAUCAGCCUGAUCACACUUGGUAAUUCUUCAUCAAAUGAAGGAUUAAAAUAAUUAAAAAAAUAAUCCGUUGUCUCACGAAUUGAAUUAGGUAGAUGACCAAUACUUGGCGAUGACAAAUUCAUUCCAACUAAUGAUUGUAAUUUUGUAAUCGAAUAUGGAUGUUCCUCUAAGUAUGAACACCUAGAUAAAUGCAACGGCCCUCCAAUUGAGUAGGGCAAUUUUAAAAAUGGUUGUUUGCUGAUCAUUGACCGUUGAAAUUCUUCUGUUGGGGAAGACAAAAUAAUCUCUGUCAAAGCUUGUAGACAUCCUAUUUCUUCGGGCAACUUUUGAAGAGAUUCACAUCCAUCCAAGUUUAAAAUAGUUAGGCACUUUAAUUUAGCAAUGGAAUGGUCAACUUCAGUUAAGUUGCUACAACCUUUAAGAACCAAUCUCUCUAGGUAUACCCAUCCAGAUAAAUCAGGUGUUCUAUUUAAGUAUGCACAGUAACUGAGAUCUAGUACUUUUAGUUUUCUAGCCUCCUGCAAAACAAUUUGAUAAAAUAUAUAUAAAUAAAUGACUUGUAGGGAAAAAAAACAAGGCAAAAGAAAUGAUAUCUUAUUCAAGGAGCGGGGCUCGUAUCAUACUCUGAUUUGGUCCCACCCAAUCCAUUUCUCCGAAAUAUUGCUGCAUGAAAGGUCAAGAACAACUAAUUUGGCUGAAUGAAAGUUUGUUGUCUCAAACUUGGAAUCGUAGCCAUGCCAAGAAAGCCAUCUUAAAUUUUUGAAGUCUCCAACGAGGGACACAAAUUCCCCUUGAAGGAACCUUAGGUAUUGUAAAUCAGCAAAUCCAUCAUGCAUCGGAAUCUCUUGAUGAAAUAAAUGAUGUAUACGUCCUACUGAUAGUGCUUCUAUUUUCCUACUUUCCUGACAAUGGAAACACCAAAAAGUUCACAUGUGAAGGUCAAAAGCAAACAAUUUUUAAGCGAUAAACGAUUAAUUUUUCCUUUUGCAAGAAUAGUCUACAACAAUUCGCAGGAAAAUAAAUUGGCGUUCCCCUUUUUACCUCUUUCAACUUCAGAAUGUUCAGCGCUUCCUCAUGGCUCCACACUCUGCUACGCUCAUUAGGAUGUUUGAAACUCUCUUGAAUGACGAUUUGCCUUCCGAGGUCCCGCACUUGGUCGUGCAUCCAUAAAGUAUUGUUGUCCUUGAGUUUAAUCAAGGACAUAAAAAGGAGGACAUCAAUGGCAUCGUGUGGGUGGUAUCCACAGGCAUGCCACAUGUAGGAAGGGUAUGUUUUGUCUUGAUCAACAAAAAAACAAGCUAUAUCCAAAAAUACUUCCUUUUGUUUAGAAUCUAACCUGUCAUAAGUUAUCUUCAAUGUUUGCAUGACUUCCAUGGGAGGAGCUUCUUUUAGCUUCAUUAAUGUGUCCAUCCAUAUAUCUUCGGAUUUACCAUUAAGGGAUGAACCUAUAAUCUCCAGAGCUAAAGGAAGCUUUCCCAAAGUACGGACAAUUUCUUCAGAAAGGAAGACACAAUGACCUGGUGGAGAGUCUCUUCUAAAGCAAUGCCUACUGAAAAGCUUAAGAGCAUGAUCAAAUUUCAUUUCUUGUACAUCAUAAGUCGAAACAUUUGCAGACUUUUCUACAAGGCCUUUACCUGUUGCUUCUCCCACAAUCUUUAGGACACUUUGGUCCCUGGUAGUUAUGAUAAUCCUACUACCAGAACCGAACCAAUCAUCUUUCUUUACUAGACUUUCAAUUUGCUUUUUCUUAUCCACAUCAUCAAGAAUAAUGAGAACUUUUUUAUUUUUAAGUACUCCUUUCUCAAACAUUUUGAUCCCGUCAUUCACAUUAUAAAUUUGGUUGAUAGAAUGAGGACCAAGUAGCUUGGAUAAUAGUUGUUUUUGCAAAUUUACCAAACCAUCAUAGCUGUUUGACGAUUCCCGAAUGUCCACAAGGAAACAACAUCGGUCAAAUCUAGAAGAUAGGGUGUUGAAGACGACCUUAGCAAGAGUUGUUUUGCCGACACCGCCCAUUCCAUGGAUUCCAAGAAAUCGUACACCAUUAGAUCCCACAUCCAACUUUUUGAUUAUAUCUUCCACACGAUCAUCAACUCCAACUAGAUGUUCAGUCACAUUUUCAUAUUCAACCUUCAGCUUAAGUGAAAGCAUUUGAAUUAUUGAACAUAUAAGAUCGCCUUGGCUGCCAUAAGGUAACAAAUAUGUUAGGUAACAAAUAUGUUAGGGAUAACUAUAUAUGUAAAACUACUCCCAAAGUGACUAUAAAUCUCUCACGUUAUGUGGAAAUAUGGCAAAAGAAUUUAGACAUUAAUACGAUUAAGAUUUUUGCCGAUCUCUCUCCGCUCCUCAACUGCAGUCACCAUCACCGUCGGCCCCCACCAUUGCCAUGCGUGCACCGUCAACAUCGCAUUUCGGUGCCGUCGCUCGUUGCGCCCGUUGACUGGCCAUCUCGGCCUUGGCUCAAUUCUCCACGUCACGUGUGUCGUGGCCUCGCAACUGCCGGGGAUGGCGUCAUCAGCCUUGGGCCAAGGCCAGCGACGUCGGAUAUGGGCGUCCAGAUCCCGGAUCCAAUUCGCCACCGCGAGUGAAAGAGAGAAAGCGAGGGGGCCAAUUGGCUCAGAGGCAGCUUCUGGCUGCUUGGUGUCGGGCUGGCGACGAAGAAGUGGCGGCGACUGACGGACAAGCUGCUGCAGUGGCUGGCCAACAGCUUGGUGGAGCUCUUUGGAGAUCUAUUAAUGUUCGUUUCUAUUGUGUCAUAGACUGAGAGUAUGAGGAGAGAGUGAAUCAGGAUAAGAAGGGUGCGCUAUCACCACAAUAGUGCCAUGGGCUGGAGCUAAUGCAGCGAUACCGCCGAUAGGGGCCACCAGAGAGAAUUCCUUUCUCGCCGCUAUAGUGGCCAAUAGCAGCAGCAGCCAUUGCCGCGACCGCCUCUAAACUAUAUAAAAUUGACUACAUGCGUAAACUAUAUUUUCACCAACAAUACCGCAACUAAACUAAACAGGAAGGGAAAUGAAAUUUGCAGACGACAGUUGACAAGUUAAAAGACGUUUACCCUUGAUCAUUCUUCAAGUUCCAUCCCUUUAUCUCGUCCACCUCAUUGAGAGCCUUUUUCCAUGACUCCACUUCUGCACUAAACUUUUCCUGAUGCUUUGCAAGAGCUUGGCUAUAUAAGUCUGUUUUGAGCUUGACAUCUUCAGGUUCCACAUCUAAGAAAAUGGGCAGAAUCUCUUUGUUCUCAUUCAAUUUCGAGGUGCACUUGACCAUGUAUGCAAGUUCUCGGAGGCACCAGUGACUCGAAGCAUAAUUUUUGGAGAAUAUGGGAAUGUAGAUUUUGGCGUUCUCAAUUGCUUGUAGAAGUUCACCACCAAUUUUUUGGCCGACGCGAAGGGAUUCAUCGUCCCUAAAGACAAGGAUCCCAACCCCAACCAUGGCAUGGUAAAGGCAAUCAGUGAAUCCAUGACGGGUGUCGGCUCCCCGAAAGCUUAGAAAAACCUCGUAUGAAGGUCCGGAUGAUACCGAUGAACUCAUCCCUAUCUCCAUUGCAGGAUCGUUAGACACCACAGGUAUCAAAUCCUCUCUCUCUCUCUCUCUCUCUCUCACAGGAAAUGUCUGCUUUUCGAUGGUGCUUGGAUCUGAGCGUGGGCUCUCAAUAUAAAUAACCUCGCUGUCUCUGGCGUGACGGAGGUGGGGCAAAAGGCGCUGCACUUCGAAUAUCUUGUCUCCUUUGCAUCGGUUUGGCCAACGAAUUUCCCAAAUCAAUAAUAAAAGGCUAAUUUUAUUUAAAAACACCAUACUAUUAAGAAAAGUACAUCACUAGCUUUUAAGUGAAGGGACUUAUCUGUCAUUGGAAUUAAUGUCAUUUGAGAUGAUAAAAGCCCAAUAGAAAAUAUAAUCCUUCCCUAAACUCAUUUUAAUAUAUUUCAAUGAACCACAAUUUUCUUAGAAUAAGUAAAUCAAAAUAAUCAUAUCUCUUUAUGAAAUAUAUUUUGCUUCAUUUUUCACUGAGAGAUGGAUAGUGAAAUUAUAAGAUUUUAAACCAUUGGAAAGAAAUUAUUUUGCCUCACAUAUUCUAAAUCAACACGAUACUCAUUCUAGUAUUAAUUAAGGAACCCAUUAUAUUUCAACCCCAUCUAUUCAACAAUAAAAAAAGUGCAAUUAGCAUUAUAUUAUUGGAUAAUCCCUAGAACCUAAUAAUGUGGAAGGCCUACUAAGUAUUAACUGGUUCAUGCAUGAGUCAACAGUGCAAUCUUAGAAUCCUAGCUAUGCUCCUAUUUUAAUUUUCUUAAUACAUAUACAAACAAGAUAGAAGUGAGUAUUGUCAUAAUACUAUAAAAGAUUAACUUAAUUAGCUAAUAAGGUAGAUUGGACAUCCUAACUAUGGAUUAUCAGGAAAUAUUUAGUAUAUGACUCUACUUGGAUGUAAAAUGUCAUGAUAUCAUAGUGGUGCCAUUUGUUAUAUAGCAAGAAAAAUUUGUAAAGCAAGAAGAAUUGAUUGUCAAUAUCUUUUUUUUUUUAAUAAGAGAUAAUAAAUAUAUAGGGGAAAGGCCAAAUGUACAAAAGGUCAUGGCAUUGAAAACAUACACUCAAGAUGAGAGGACAUAAUGAGUGGACAGAUGUCGAGAUGUAAAAGCAACAACACAAGGCAACCAGGAAAAGGAAGCCAAGCUAACAAGAGACAAGCACGGCAUGAACAACCGACGACCAUAACACAAACUCCUCAAAGGAGGAGGGAGACCACCGCUACAAGUGAAAAUAAAAGUUUGAAUAAAGAAAUGGCAGGCGGUGUAUGACAUUAUUCAAGAAAUUUGUAUCCAUAAGUUUCAUUUAAAAGAUGUGUUGGAAAAAUAAAAUAGGUUUUACGAGUCAUCCUAGAAGAUUCAUAGAAGUUUCUACUGGUCAAUCAAUGGGUUGUCAUCUUAGGAGUUCCCAUAUCCCAUAUGUUUAAUAAAGUUAGAGAUUCAUAGCCUUAAAAUAGAGUAUAUAAAGUGAAAUUAAGAUACAAAAUGAAUAUGAUUUUUGUGCUUUUCUUUAUUGUGAUUAUAUUAAAAAAAAUUGAAAAAUCCAAUUAGACUUUGUAUCUACAUCAAAUACUACUUUGAUUUCUUGAAAUUUGCGGCAUUGUUCAUCUAUAGACAAAAAUCCUUAGCUAAAUGCUAAAUUAUCCUUCUAUAAUCGAAAUGUGUUGAAUGAAGUGAUCACAUGAUUGGUGUGGUGUGAUCCAUCAUUUCAUGCAAUGCACAUGUCAUUUUAACAGAAAAAAUCUGAGGUACGUCUGUCUGAUUAAUUAUUAAACGUGUUAGCAUCUAAGCAUGCGUCGAUCCGGGCCUUAAUUCCCCGAUGGCCCACUCUUAUUGCUCCCGUUCCCGAUGGAAUCAUCCUCAGCCGUCUGAUCAAAAUCCCUACUUCCAAGUCAAACCUCGUCACACAAUCAGCGGGGCCCAGAAAAGGAAAACGGGAGGAAAAGGCAUAUGAAACGAGUGCGUCACCAUCUUUGAGGACCCCUCAACGACAAGAGAAAGCGAGUCGAGAGUCUUUCACCAUCUUGCUGACUUGCUUCGUUGCAUCUGGAGACAAGAGACCAGCAUUUAUCGUGACAAUAUUACAUAGACUUAAUUUAAUAGUGAUGUAAUGGGUAAAACCAGUCAUAACAUAAUGUCAAUAUGGAACUUCUUCUUUUUUUGUGACUCACAUAAUGGAAUUUUUAUCUUUUUCUUAGGUGUUAUAAGAAAUCUAGAUGCCUGACAAUGCAAUAUAAACUCAAUAUACAUCAAACUCUUCAAUUUGUCUGAUGGCUUUAAAUAACUCUUAUUGAUCCGAUAGUAAAGCUACAAUAGUUAAGAUGCAAGUUCUAUUUAAAACAUCAUUUCUAUUAAGAAAAACACAUGAACAUGUUUUAACUAAAGAAACUUAUCCGUCGUUGGAAUAAACAUAAUUACUAAAUCAAAUUUAUUUUAUAUGUAUCAAAAUCUUAACCUUGCUUGGAAUUAAUUCAUUUACUUAAAUUAAAGUUAUUAUAUAUGUAACAGAAUCCAAAAUUAUUAUAAUAUGAAAAAUUUUGAAUGCUAGACUAUGCCCUCCCUUUUCAAAAGAUCAUUUAUAGUAAAUAUAUUUAGAUCCCGAACCAAUAUGGAACAAUACAUGGUACCACAAAUUAAACAUAAAGACGGCUACAAAUUGUGGAUCAUAUCAAUGAAGAUUACACAAAACCAAACUCAAAUAUAUCUAUCAUCCCAUUAAAAAUAAGAUGAUUGCAGUGAAAUCAACUUAAUUUUGGAAAUUGAGCUGUGAAUAAUAGCCUAGAUAAUCAAAUUUAGCGAUGGAGUAAAUGUAGAGUGCCAUGAGCAAUAUGUUGUUUAUUUAUAAAUUGGAUUGAUUUGCAAAAUUCACAAUUCAAAAUAUUUUAUAAAUUAUGAUUCACUCAUGAGUAGCUUGAUAUAUUUUAUUCCAAAUUUUAAAGUUGCAACCAGCAUAUCUUAAAUUUUAAAUUUAUACUUUAAAAGAAGGUAAAGAGUGGGACGAUGAAUUAUAAAAUUUAGGUUAAUCCUGAUUGGUUAAUUUGUUUGGAUGUCACACAAGUUCCAAAUCAUUGGUGUUGGAUAAUCUACUUCACAGCGUGCAACACGGGAAAGCAAGCCAAAGUUUUCUAAUAGUAUUUUUGCUCGCUUCGUUCCAUUUUUCUCUUCUCGGCCAAAGAAGUCAAAAGUCUUCCACCAUCUCCUUGCUUAGUUGCAGACAAAGUGAUAAACCAAAAGCUGACAAAACCUACUCAAAAGAAAAGACUGACGAGGGGAAGCAAGUUAAAGUCUUCCUCCACCUAGCACCAGAGGUGGGACCCUUAUUGAAGAGUCUUUCAUAGACGCGGUUUACAAAAUUGUUCAAUAAAUUAUUGUCCAUCAGUCACAUUUAAAGGACAUGCCAAAAAGUAGAACGCGAAUUUACAAGUCAUCCUGGAAAUUUCCAUGCCAAAAAGUAGAACGUGAUUUACAAGUCAUCUUAGAAAUUUCCUAGAAGUUUCAUUGAUCAAUCCAUGGGUAUCGUACUAGGAAUUUUUAUGUUGCAUUCAUUUAACAACAAAUUUAUAAAUUUAUAAAUUGAGGAUAUAGAGUGAAAGAAGGUGAAUGUGAUUUUUGAGCUUUUCUUUAUAUUAGAACGUGGUUUACAAGUCAUCCCGGAAAUUUUCUAGAAGUUUCAUUGAUCAAUCCACAGGUAUCGUAUUAGGAGUUUCAUGUUGCAUUCAUUUAACAACAAAUUUAUAAAUUUAUAAAUUGAAGAUAUUGAGUGAAAUCAGGUGAAUAUGAUUUUUGAGCUUUUCUUUAUAUUAACCACGUUAGAGAAAAUUUAAAAAUCCAAGCAAACUUUGUAUUUAUAUAAUAUACAACUCUAAGUUAUUGACAUUUGCGACAACAUUCAUCUUCAAAAAAAAAAAAUGCUUGAUUAGAAAAUUAAACUAUCCCUCUAUUAAUAAAAUUUAUACUAUCUACCAAUCACAUGAUUGAUAUCGUAUAAUCAAUCAAUCCAUGCUAUCCACACAAAGUAUGAUUCAUUUUAAUAAGUGCUAAAAUAUUAAAAAUAUUCAUUUUACAUUGAUUUAUCAUAUCAUAUGAUAUGAUUGUCACAUGAAAUGUCUUUUGCUCUACCAUGUCAUUUCUCUCUCUUCCCCCAAAACCAAAAAAAAAAAGAAAAAAAAAACCGUACUGCCAAGCAACGUUACCAUCCUCGGACACCACUACUCCCCAUUCAAAACCAACAACGCCCUCCACAACUUAGCCCCACCUUUGUCUGCAUCUCGCACUCCCUCUCUAUCUCUCUUCUCUACCAUGGCCUAACUUGAAAUUCGAGGCGUCUCACUCAAAGGUGCUAUAAUGCUUGUCUGCAUCUUUUUUCACUUUUAUUUUCCAUUUCAUUGUAGUCGGAGAGGUCGCCAGCAAGCCCUUACAAGCCCUUGCUGACAACUGGCAAUGAUGGCAGUCCUCACCUAAAGUCCUCACUGAUCACUGACGAGAGCACAAAAGCCCUCACUAGACCUGGGUGAGGCCCUCGCCCACAGCUACAAUAUGGGCAAGGGCCUUGCCUAGUGUCACUGGCCACAUCAUUAGAAAAAAAAAAAAAGGAAGAUAAUGAAGCAUCCGGGCUUUCAAUUAAGUAAAUCAAGUCGAUUAGUUGAGCAAAUUUCAUUUCAAAAUUCUGUUAAGCUAAUUACCCUAUUGUUAUUUUUAGUGUGAUGUGAGAUUAUCUAGUCUUAAGGUUGAGAUCCAUGACUCAAUCGAGGCAGCUAGCCAUUGAUUUGUUGUCUUUAUCAAUAAAUUCUUGAAAAUAUGUCGGAUGAUUUCUUGGGAGAAAAAUAUUGAGAUAGACUUGUUCUUUACACUUUUUAUUAGUCCCCCCUCUCUCUCGCCCUCAGGUAGAUGACAUGAUCAAGUUGGUGAUUUAUGCAAACGCAAAACGAUUGCACUUAUAAUACGUAUUUACGUAUUUAUUAUAUGGUUGAAAAAUUGUGUUGACCAUAUGAUAAAGAAAAGAAGAAACCAAAGAAAAGGAGGGGCGCACUAAAUGAACAUUUUCACGUACAGUAAGGGAAGGAUGCUAGAAAAGUGCGAUUCAUAAAAGAUAAAAUGCACAAAACUCCGUUGAGGAGUGUUUUAGUGAAAGUAAGAAUGGAAAGAGCACCGCGUUUCAAUAAUUUAAUAAUGAAGUGAAUGAAGAGUGCCACAAGUGGUAUGCUUUUGAUUAACAAAAUGGAUUGAUUUGCAAAAUCCUUCAUAUGAAUUAUUUUAUUAAUUAGGAUUUAGUUAUGAGCAGCUUGAUAUAUUUUAUUUCAAAUUUCAAAAUUGCAAUCCACUUAAUUUAAAUUUUAAAAUUUAAAUUUUAAAAGAAGGCAAUGAGUACGAGAGUAGGCGAUAAAUGAUCAAAUUUAAAUUAACCCUAAUCGGUUAAUUAGCUAGAAAGCACACAAGUCCCAAGUCAAAGUCUUCCACUAUCUUACUUUCUUCGUUGCAUUUGCCUAUGCUUUUCCUCCGACCAAAGAAGGGGGGGAGAGGAUGAGCCAAAAGCCUACAAAGCCUACUGAAAAGAAAGAAAGAAGACUCAGCCCAGGGAAAGCAAGUCAAAAAGUCUUCCAUCACGUGGCUUGCAUAGUUGCAGAGAAAAGGAGAAGGCAAAAGCCGACAAAGCCAACUCAAAAGAAAAGGGAACAAAAAAGGACUCUGGCAAUUGAAAGCAAGCCUUCCACUAACUUGCGUGCCUAGUUGCGUUGCAAUUUGUACAAAAUUGUACUAAUAAUUAAUGUCAUACUCCUGCUUAAAACUUUUAGCUACUAAGCGAGCCUAAUACUGCUCUAUGGAAUAUUCAGAGUGAGCCUUAACAUAAUUAAACCCACUUGCUAAGCUCUGGUAAAUUUUCCAGGUGAAAGAUCAACCAAAUCCUACGCAGGACUUUCUAAAGCUCGCAGUUCCUCAAGUAUUAGCUUCUGCUAGUGAGUGUUGGAAGAGCCUCUCAAUUGGACUGAGAUUUCAUAAAGUGGAGUAAGAUAACAACAAUAAUAGUAAUAAUCAGGAAGACAUAAAAAAAAGUAAUCCUAUUAGAGCGCUGCAUAUAAGGUUCAACGUCGGAAGUCAUGAGAUCCAUAUACCAGCAGAUUAUGUAGGGAGAGCAAAUCUGAGAAAUCAAGUGUGCAUCAAGAAGAGACAAACUAGAUAGAGACGCAACCAGACAUGACCGACUUGCAUGUGAGAACCAUUUGGAGUCACAUGGACGCAGAAUGCAGUAUUAAAGAACCAUAAAGAAUGACCUAGAGGGAUAGAAAAGGCAAUAGAUUAACCAGAUCUACGCCACACUUUUCUCUUUCUUUCUUUUUUUUUUUAUACGAAAAAAUGUUCAAUUCAACGUCAGACACCUCAAAAUUUUAAAAUUAGGAGAGAGAAAUUCAAAGCUUGGCGUUUUAAUUUUGGUUAUAGCAAGAAAAUUUAAUUAUAAAUAUCUUUGGUUGUUGUAAGUGUGAAUAUGAGAAAACAAUCUUAUCUUCUAUAGCAUUGCUAGGUGAUAGCAGUGGUUGAAUGUGAGAACACAGAAAUAAUGCCCAAAAAGAAAUGGCAGUUUACGAGUCUGUAAAUAUCCGAUAAAGUUGAUAUUCAAUUUCAGGAAACGACAAAAGUAGAUGCUAAUUCUUAAAAUAGUCAAAUGAUUUUUGUCCAUCGUCUUCUGAGUUCAAAUUAAAAAAAAAAAAAAAUCAUUAGAUGUGUGAGUAUUCUUCAGACCAGUUGUAAGGUGAGUUUGUCUGAAGAUGAAUCGAUACCAUGAUUCUUGCAAUCUUCUGAAUGUCAUUGUCAACGAGUUGUCAUCCCAGAAGUUUCCUUAACCCCUUUAUUUAAUAACAAAUUAAAAUCUGAAGGCUUAUAACAACGUUACAAAAGUGACAGCACAAAAUCAUAAAUUCCUAAUUUUAAAAAUAGAGGAUAUAAAGUGAAAUAAAAAUAGUUGAUAAAGAAAAUUGGAGCAACAAUUAAAGAAAAUUUCAAAAUCCUCUCAACCUCUGUAUCUCUAUCGAUUGCGCUUCUCGGUCCUCGUAAUGUUCAUCUUUAGAGAAUGAUCCUUAAUUAAAAGAUCAAACUUCACCUCUAUUGUAGAUAUGUAUUUUAUUGCCAGUCAUACAAUCAAUGUGGCGUAAUCAAUCAAUCCACAUUGCCCAUGCAAUAUGUUUGUCGUCAUAAUUGAAAAUCGAAUGUUGGAAAUUCUCACUUUCCGUUGGCUUAUCAUGUCACAUGUCUCUACCACAUCAAUUAGAUAUAAGCAAAUCAAAGCUUUCCACCAUCUUGAUUGCUUGGUUGCAUUUUUCAUUUCUUUUCCCAACUCAACCUAAGGAAAGUAGUAGAGUUGGGGGCAAACAAACAAAAAUUAAUUUAUUCUCCGAGUAUUCAUCUUCAUGUUAUUCUUGUGUGUAGAAGCUAUGUAAUUCUGAUUGUAUUUCUCUGUAUAAGUCUUUAUGCCUAUAAUUAGGGAAGAAAGUUAGUAUUGCGGGAGUGAGUUUAUAGAAUCAUCUAAUCAAGCAUCCUGUAGAAACAACACUUAGACGAUUACAUAGAGGAUUCCAAACUUAUUGUGGCCGUUAGAGCUUAGAGAGUGGAGUAAGUCAAGUAAAAGAUCAGACCACUUCAAAUCUAUUCUGCAUACCUUCUAUCUCCUUACUUGAUAGAAGAUAAAUGUUACUACAUAAUUGUUUUCCAUUACAGGAACAUAUUCCACAUGUCCUUCACAAAAAUAAAAAUAAAAAUAAAAAAAAAAAAUAAUAAUAAUAAUAAUAAUAAUAAUAAUAAUAAUAAUAAUAAUAAUAAUAAUAAUAAUAGUUUCCCCUAUAACAAGCAAAUCGUCUCCCUCUUAAUUGUUGUGCUUAUCCAUUUAUCAGUAAAUAUUUUUGGUUGUGCACGGGUGCAAAUGAGAAAACAUGGUUUUCGUCUUCUACAUAUUGCUGGGUAAUUGUAUUUGGUAGUUGAACGUGGAAACAUACAGAUAAUUAUUAUCCUCGAUCACCAAAAAAAAAUUGAAAAAUAAUUAUUUGAAUGAAAGAUGAUACGCAGUUUGCUAAAUUGUUCAAAAAAUUCUGGUCCAUUGUUAAAAAAAAUGCUAAAUAAUAGAACAAGGUUACGAUCCGCUAUUAAAAGAUUUGGUGUAAUUGUUCGAUUGAAACAUGUCAUCAAGGAUUGCUAAUACAUUGCAAUUACGCUUCUUUAUGCCAACUAGAUUAUUUCAUUAAUAAAUUCUAAAGAACCAUAACAACCAUAAAUGGAGUUUAUUUUUUUGCCGGCCGAUCAUGAUAAGAUUUUGUCUCACUUUCAUUUCAUAUCGAUCUAUGCCAAAGAUAACUUAAAGUAUAAUUCACAUGAGAAAAGACAAAUUAAUGUCGUUGUCACAAGUCACUAAUUAUAAUCCUUUGUUUCGGUCUAUUAUUAUGGUGUAAGUCUUGGUCGUUGUAAUAUAUUCCAACUAGGUAAAAUGGAUGCCCUUUCAGGAUAGUGACAUUCUCUCUACGGUUAAGAGUCAAUAAUUGCCUUUUAAAUAUUGAGUGUGGAUAAUGAUAGAGAAAUUGGCUAUUAAAUAAAUUAUUUGAUCUAUCGUGAAAGCACAACCUCUACAAUAUCAUUUCAACUUAAAAAACGGAAUUGCAUAGGAGGACAACUUUUGUUUAUGAACGUGCUUGCACAAUACCAUCAUUAGAUUUGUGGGAAAAAGACAUUAGAAGCGACAUAAUUUUUAUAUUACACUUAUUUUGAUGCUAAAACUUUUCGUGGAAAUACUUAAGUACAACUUUAAACAAGAUCACCUAGACGCUAAUUCUUAUUUGGGAUGCCAAAAAUUCAAUGUGGCAUUAUUUUAUCAAUUUAUCCAAUCGAUAUGACUCACUAGCAUGCCCAGGUAGCAUUAUAACUCUAAAUGAUGUCACCUUCAUGUUUUGUCCCAAAUAUAAAUCUUACAAUGGAGAGCAGGAGUAGGACAAGCGGCUCAAAUUUGUUCCAACAAAGCCGAGAUGGAGGUGAAUAUCACUUUUAUGUUGUACUGUUAGAUGUCCAAGGAGAACAACUUGGAGAAGGUCGAAUCCCAAUAAAAGAUUCCUUGCAUCUCACCAUGCACAAUACUCACGCACAUUUUCAUUGUUACGAGAUUCAUCCCCUGACAACAAGCCCCAAUUUCUUCCCUCCGUGCGCCAAAAGGCUAAUUAGUUCUCAUGCCAAUUGAGCGAGAGAUGAUGAUGAUGGUCGAGAGAGAGAGAGAGAGAAUAUGACUCAGUUCGGCAUUGUUCAGAUCAAGACUAGCCACCUCAUAAUUCAUGUUGGACUUUUUUUAAUAUAUAAAAAUUCACGUAUGAAUUAACUUUUAUUUAAAAAGUCACAUAGAACUUAUGGCCAGAAUUUAUUGUCGAAGGCAUUUAAGUAGUUACUUAUUUUCUGAUUUGACACUUAAGUGACCUAUCAAAAAAAUUUGGCACACAAUAAGUGCUGAAUGAAAGGUUUCACGGUUCUAGUGCAUUUUUUUCCUUAGAAUAUUAUCAUUAGUUGUAAUCACGCUGUACCAAUUCAAUGUUUUUCCCAAUACAGCCAACACUCGAAAGACAAAAAUAAAAAUAAAGAAGUCUGACUCACUAGCCACUAAUUAUUUGUCCUGGUCUUUCUUUAUUUGGUCCUUUGUUAAGGUGUAGGUGUUGAUCAUUGUUACGUCUUCUAGCAAGGUAACACGUAGGAUAGCGACAUUCACCAUCAGGUUGAGAUUCAAUAGUUGCCUUUUAGAAAUAGGUAGUCGGUAAUGAUAGGGAAAUUAGCUAUUUAAUUAGAUUAAAUAACUUAUCCUUAAAGCAUAACUACUAUACUAUUAUUGCAAUUUAAAAAUCAUAAUUAGGUAGGAAGACAACUUUUGUGUAUGGAUGUACUUACGCAUUACCAUCAUCAUAUUAUUAUAUUAUCAUUUUUUAUAAAUAUUAUUAUUAGUUAUAAUCUUGCUGCGCUGGUUCAAUGUUUCUCAACACUUCAUAUGUCUUCUGGAUGCAGCCAACACCCGAAAGAUCAUGGAAACUUCUUGCAAUUGUGACAGAAAGGGAAAAUGACAAGAAUAGGUAAAUAUUCAACAUCUCGGAAAUGUUUUAUGGUUGACGACAUUUACUUUUGACGUGGGUCUUGGGAAGAAAAAGAGAAGCAGAUGCUACUCCCCGGAAUAGCCAUAUGAAUAUUGUCCAUCUUCUUCUAAGUUAUAUUAAAAAACUCCAUCAAAUGUGCGAGUUUUCUUCGGUGCAGUUGAAAAGUGAGUUUUCUCAAACAAAUCGAUCGUCUUGAUUCAUUCAGUUUUCUCGAUGUCAUUGGUCAAUCAAUCGGUUGCCAUCGUAAAAGUUUCCUUUUUUCAUUCAUUUGAUAACAAAUUUAAAAUCUGAAAUCUGAUAACAAAGCUACAAAAGUGACAGCACAAAAAUCUGGAUAGAACACGAAGGUAUUUUUUGAGCUUUUCUUGGAUUUAAUCACAUCAUUAGAGGAAAAAUUCAAAAAUCCUCUUAGACUUUUUUUAAUCUAUAUAAAAAAAAAAACGGUUAUUAAACUUUGACAUUUGCAACCAUGUUCAUUUUUAAACAAAAAUCCUAAACUACAAUUUUAAACGAUUCUCCUCUACCAUGGACAUAAAUUUCAUGUGCCUAUCACACGAUUGACGCAGUAUAACCUAACAAUCUGCAUUACCCAUGUAAAACAUAUGUCAUCUUAAUUGGCACUUAAAAUGUGAAAAAUAUUUCUCAUAUAAUUCAUUCUCCUCUACUACGUCAUUUUUCUCUCUUCUCUCUCCCCACCAUACUGCCGAUCACCAUCCUGGAUGCCACCACUCCCCCAACCAACGCCACUAAUGCAUAUUCAAGUCAACGUCUUCCACCAUCUUGCUUGCUUAGAUGGAUUUUACAAAUUCCCUCUUUCCAACUAAAGAAAGGGAUACAAAGCCUUCUCGAAAAUUUAGAAAAAGACUCUGGUGGACGUUCAACCUUGGAGUGCUUCUUGUUCUUCCCCUGGUUUUCCUUGAAGGUACUUGAAUGAGAGGUGAUCACGUAAAAAGCAGGGCUGACACACGUGAUUAGGAGGUGACGAGAGACCAGCAUUUUUUAGAUGUUUAACUUAAUUUAUAAGUGAUGCAAUGGACAAAACUAAUCAUAGUUAGUGAAUUCCUAGUGAAAAUAUGAAAAUUUGUGUUUUUAUCAGUGAGACACGGCAUAUGGUUCUCAUAAUGUUUCGCAAUUUAGAUAAUUUAAAUGCCGCAUAAAUCUACGUAUAUUUGAUAUGCAUCAAACUCUUCAAUUUGUCCUUUGAUUCUAAACCUCUUACGGAAUUGACAGCGUACAUGGUAAUGAUUACUAUUAUGUAACUAUUGAACGCAAGAUUAUGCGGAAAAUGGUCCAAAAAGUCCUAAAACUAUCGUACGGUGGCCAAUUCAAUGCUAUGUCUCUUAAUUAUACCAAUGUAGUUUCUUAACCUUUUAACAAUUUACUGAUUUACCAAUUCAAUUCUAAACUUUUGUGGGUUGUAUCAUCUUUGUUUUGACACAACACAACUUAAAAGGCCAAGCCGAACUACGCUUUUAGCUUGAGGUUCACCAUGUGGGCCAUAAUACCUUCGGUUGGGCCUUAUCUCUCUCUUAAUUUCAUUCCAUUCCUUGGGCCUUCCACUUUCUGGGCCCAACAAAAUGUGUGCUGAGGUUUAACAAAAGAGCGAAAAUUGUUGGCCACAUUAGUAGUAAAUCAACUCCCCUCAACUUCAAAAUAGUUUUAGGAAUAUCUAUGAAUAUUUUGAGUACUUAUGGCUUUGAUCUCAUUGUCUCCAACAUUAUUUUUUUUUGUGUAAUUAUAGUCCCUAAUUUGCACUAAAGUAGGAUAAUCAUUAUUUGACAUGACCUAAGUUUCAAAGAUAUUUCAUUUUUGUCUCUUUGAAUUAAUGAUGUUGAGACUAUAUAAUUAUCUUGUCACGUAGUUUAGCCAUGAGUGCUGACUUGUAAUUUUUUUUUCCUAAUGCUUGCUUGCAUUUAAUAUGAAUUAAAAUACUUACACAUGGGAUCCAAAUUUAAAAAGUAUCAUUGGAUCACUUUUGAACUCUUUUACACGAGGUUACAAAACUAUUUACUUCGUCACUUCCUUAUGUGCAAAAACCGUGGCCAAAUGUGCGACAAAUCCGAUGAUCAAGAACCCAAACAACAUAAAUGAAAGACUUUAAGGACCACAAUCUCACUUUUUAAAGAUAUAAGUAAAUAUUACAAUGAAAUUAGUUACCCCAAAAGUUAAAAUACAUAUAUUAUCACCCAAAAAAAUUAUUUAUAAUAUGAAGAAUGGCUUAUUCCGUUAGUUAAUAAAAUUAAAAGAAAUUCAAUUUAAUUUAGUGGAUGUGCAAAAAAUCAAUAAGAAAUACUUUUGUGACCUCACCACUUACUAACCAACAAUGCUAGGUCGUCAAAACACAUAACGAGUGUUGAUUAUUUAUUACUGUAAGAAUGAUAUUUAUGUAUAGCUUAUUUAUUAUUUAAAUAAAUUUCAUUUAAUAAAGACAUUCACUUAAUUUUUGAGAGAAAACAAUAGUAUGGAAAUAUAUCUUUGUGAAUUUGCAAGAAUCACAGUUUAUAAUCUAUUCCAAUAAUUCAAUUUUUCGAAUCAAAUGCAACUGAAAAUAAAUAGAUGUCUCAAACGUAAACUUAUAAUAGAAUUAAAAAAAAAUGAGGUGAAGAAAGUUAAGUGAAUGUCUACUAGCGCACCCUAAAUCAAAUCUACCAACACUAUGUUUGGUAAAAAAAAUUGGGAGGUGAAGAAAAAUAUAGUGUGAAGAAAAUAAAGUUAUUAUGAAACAUUUGGAAAAUGAAAAUGAAGAAAAUAAGAUAAAUGACUAUUUUUUGUUUGAAAGAGGGGGAAAAUGACGAUGAAGAAAGCGUCAAUGAGUAAAAAAUUAUCAUCCAUUAGAAGAAAAAUGAUUUAAAAAAUGGAAAUAUCACAUAAAAGAAGGGUAGUGUGGAAAAUUUGACCAAAUAAGUGACAAUUCCCCUGGUUUUCUCAAUGCAAAUGGAAAAUUCAAAAAAUUGUGGGCCCCAGAGAAUGGCGGGCCUGGUUGGGCUUGUAGCCGAUUAUUAGCGUGGCCCGAACUGGAAUCUUCGAGCCCGAAGAAAAGCUUGCCCAAAAUGGACUAUCUAGCCCGUCCACAUUAUGUCGGGCUUUUGGGCUUCGAGUCGGGCUAGGCCAGAACGGCAGUGAACUUUUACAAAUUGAAAUUAAUUUGUGCACUUGUAAAAUUUCAUUCUUUUCGUAUACGGUUAAAAUCUUUAGUAAAAUACUACAAAUAUAAAAAAUAAAAUAAAAUACAAGAAAAAAACAACAACAGUGGCGGAGCUGAGUCAUUUCAGGCUACACAGUGGGCAGGCCAAAAGCCCGGUCCUCCUAAAAUAUACACGAUAAAGUUCAAAAGUUCGCCUUGGUCUAUUCGGCCAUUUCGCUGGGAUGGAUUUUCGGACUUUAAAUUUCACCCCAACCAAUCUGGACCUUCAUUAUCUCUACUCCUCCAUAGGUGAAAUUUGUCCAAUUCCGUUGACCACCUUUCAUUAUAUGCCUUUUCCAAGUUUCCAAGCACUGGCUACGGGUGAAACCUGCGCGAUUGUCUGUACUUACCUUUUUUUAAGGCCGAAUAUAAGCAAUACAGUUCAUCCAAUAAUAAACCUAAUAAAAAUUAUAGCACUAUGACAUGAUCAAAUCUGAACGAACAAAUGUUGAAUUGAAUCGUACUAGUCUCUGUAUGGCUUAUUACUCAUUUUUGUACCUGCUGUUCUAUUUUCCUGUGCUUUCAUUGUGGUGGCUGUCCUGAUUAACUUUGCUAAUCUUUUGCCCCACCGCCAUGGAAACCACCCCGCCCCAUGUUUUAAUAGUUGACCUGGAGUUGCGCCCUUGCCGUGUCGAGAUGAACUAAGUUAGUCGUCGGUGUUGAAUGUUGCUAAUAGUCAUCGAUUUCGUCGAGCUUGAUGUGCUUGGAUUGGAUCGUGAGGCAAGCAAGCAGAUAGCCAUCAAAGCUCCCUCUGCAGGUUCUUGUUUCUUACCGAAUUGAACGAAGAUCAUGAGUGUUUCAUGCAUGAUUAGCCGACUGUGACAUCCUGGGCAUGUUUCUAUUUUUCGGGACAUUCGUCUGCAUGUGUUCUUGUUCUUGCUUCUCUACGGCAGAAUCUUUGCCGUGGAUGGAUUGUAUGUAGGGGUGUCAAUGGGUCGGGUCAGGUCGGGUUUUGAUGUUACCUGACCCAACCCGAAUCAUCAGGGUCACAUACUAUGACCUGACCCAAACCGACCGGAAACACAUCAGACCCGCAUCUAAAAUUCGGGUCUGGUUUAUGGGUCUUCCUCUUUUUUUUCCACCUCUCUUUUCUUUGGUAUAAUUUUAUUGAAGUAAAUGGCCAUUUAACUUCUAAAGAACAACAAAUCUGAAAGAUAAUACCUUCAGCCCUAAGGCUUUAGGAACUUUUUAUCAUAAGCAGAUAUUGAAAACAAACUUAGCCAUAGGCGAGCAAUCCACCAUAAAUUGUAGAAAUAUACAUUGAAACAUAUAAAGAUACAAUAGGAAUAACAGCUGAGACAUCAUCCUACAAUUAACAAAUUGUAGAAAAAAAAAAAGGUCUAACAUGGGGGAGUAGCAUUCCCAAAUGGAGAGACACUAUUUGGGAAGAAAGCAAAUUGGCUUUCUAACUCCUGGGAAACUACUAGAUACGUACCAAAGAGGUGGAAACUCCUCGCAAACUGCAGCUUGAAUAUGAGGAGACAGAAGCCCAACUACAGGCAAUAAGAUAAGAACUUUGUUAAAUUUGCACACUACAACCAUCAUGUAAAUAUGUUCAGGACAAUGGUUUCUAUCAAAGAAAGAGGUAAAAUUCCAGACAAGAAGAAAGCAUACAAAUAUUGGAUAUGCUCUCAAACAAGCAAAUAUAAUUUCCAAUGCGACAAAUUUGGUAAGAAGAAUUAGUACUCAUGUCCUUUAUACUACAAAGUUUGUUAGUGUUAUGUUUUCUACAACAAACGAGGUUAAGCCUAUGAUAGUGCCAUAUCCAUUUGCAGUCAGGAGGCACCACUAGGGGUUCUUUAGAAAUCAAAUCUAUGUGCUUGGCGAGCAGGGAAGCCAGCAAUGCUUGUAUCUAAAUUUAGCACAAAAUUGAAAAAUCUGAGAAUCGGAAGAUAUUGUUAGGAGUGCAAAAAGAAAAAUAUGACUUACACAAGUUGCAUAUUACAAAACACUAACCUCUAAUACGUCAAUCAUCAAGAGAAGUCAAUAUCGAGUUUGACUCCAUGGUCAAAUUUGGCAACUCUACAAUAAAUUCACGACGAAAAUGAGAACUAACAUAUGCAUUAAAAUAAAGAAAGGUAUAAAUAUUCUACAAUCAUAUUUUCUCACCCGACUCAAAGAUUUCAAGGUCUUCUAAGUCUUCCUCAAUCGAACGUAAAAGUGGCGCGGAUCGUAAUCAAUCUUGAGCACAUGUAAGAGCUUCCACCAUGGUUGGGGUCAAGGAACUACGAAACACAUCGAACACACAACCUCCUAUGCUAAAUGCUGCCUCAGAUGCUACAGUCAAGAUGGGCACAGCCAAGAUAUCUUGAGCAACAGUAGAAAAUAUAGCAUAUUUCGAUGAAUUUCCUUUCUACCAACUUAAGAUAUCAAAUUCCAAGUUAUAAUGUUCAUAUGCUUCCUCCAAGUACUUGUCCAAUUCAUAUUUUUCAUCCAAAUAUUGUUGUCCAGUUUGCUAAAAUACAUUUCAGUCAUAAUACCAGCACCAACUACCAGGGACCUUGACAUGCUUAUCAUCAUUGUGCUCUUUAGUCUCAAGUUGCUUUGAGGGCUUACACCCGUAUUAUAUUGCUCAAACAAUAAUGUCAGAGAUGUUGUCACUUCUUCUUGUAAAGUUUCUGCCUCCUUACUUUUAUAAACACGACUAAUCAUCCAUAUCACAUGGUCCCACUCAUGUCGCGGGUUAAGUACGCAACAAUGAAUAAAGUGAGAUUUACGUUGUUCACGUUGCCAAAAUACUUACGGAAUUUCGUUUUCAUUCUUUGAGCCAUUUCUCGUAAGCUUUUGUCAUCAUUUCCACAAUUUCUCUCAAUUAUCAUAUAAAUCCCAUACACAUCAUUUGCCAUAUUAUUGCUAGUGACAUAAGAAGAACCUAAAACUUUUAUAGUUGUAUCAAAAAACAACUUCAGAAAAUGAAGAAAGUGACGCGCAUAAUUCCAAUCCUCAUUAGUGGGAAACUCUUUCCCCUUGAAAAGUUCUUGAGCAUAUUUGCUAUUCUGAAGUUCCAUAUUGCUAAAAGCUUUUUUAAACUUCAAAGCUGAUUCCAACAUCAUAUAUGUUGAGUUCCAACGAGUUUCCACAUCCAAACAUACAAGACUCUUCGACUCAAUAUCUUUUAACUCAACAAAACCCAUGAACUUUGAGCAUGAAUGGACCUUGACUUAGAACCAGGGAAGGAGAGUAAAUUUUAUGCAGGUAUGCAUCCCACAUUGGGCGAACAACUCCUGUUCAAGCCCUUCAGGGACAGCCUUUUAGCAGAAAACCACUCAGCCUUUUAGUUCAGAGCCUAGAGACAUCCAAAAGCUUUAGGAUGGAAACGUUUCUAAUUUACCCAAGCUGCAUUUCUCGAAGGAUCCUACUAGGUUAGAGAAGAAGAGGAAUUUAGAAAGCCAUGGAGAGUUUUUCACAAAGCACACACUUUACUUCAGGGGACUCUGCCCAACACAAUACACCCUCCUUGCCUUAUAUAGGCAAUAAGAGGUCACAAAGACAAACACAGGGACCAACUAAUAGGUCCAGAUACAAACAGAGGCACCAGACGAAAUUUCCAGGAGGGAAUUAUUCGCACACUAUGAACAGUAACUGUACUGUGAACAGUACAUUCCAUAGCCUAUUGCUACAGUAAAAAUGAACAGUAAUUUUGCUACAGUGAAAAUGUAUGGAUCUAACGAUCUAGUCCGUCACGAGCAUUGUAGCUGCAUACUGAGUCAUCAUCUAAGCUGUCUUCUAGGAGAUGUGCUUCAUAUUUUGCUUGAAGGGCUUCAAGAUCUUCUGGUGAGAGGAUUUGAUUCAGCCUUCUUGACGAGGAUGCUUGUUCACGAGCCCAAUGGGAUGCUUCUUCUGCUGCCCAAUCUGUAUUUUCGCUGGUAGUAUUGCCAGGAAAACUUGGUUGGGGCCAGUUGGAUGGCUGUGCAUAGUAAGAUGUGUCCAUGUCUUGAAAUGAGGACGAAGGUCCUUGUUCGUAGGAAUUCUGGGACAAAGGACCUCUAAAGCAAGCAUAGGGGUCUUGAGUGGACUGGACAAUGUCUUCUUCGCUUGUCAUUUCCUGCUCUUGGGACGAUGCAGCUUGUCUGUACUGCCUGAGUGCUUCCUUAGCUUCUGGUGCUAGGUUAUAAUGAUCCCACGUAGUGCGUACAUUAUUCCAAAUAUCUUCAGGAAUGGUUUUGUUUUCUUGGCAUAGGAUUCUUUGGAGUUCUCGGUACUCGUUUUCACAAAAUCUAACAGAUCUUGGAUAAGAUUUGUGAAUCCGAGCUUCUCGGCUGUUCAAGUGAGGUUUAUAGGAUGUGGUUCCUAUUUCGAGUGGCCUUUCAAGAAUAGUACCAUUAUUUCUGAAAAAAUUCUAUAGACGGCGGAAAAACAGGAUAGUGUGAACUUCAGGAUUUGGAGUCACAGUUCUCAGUUCAUUUUCUAAGUCUUGUUUCCAGCAUGUAGGAUGAUAAAACCAAUUAAGAAAGUCUAAGAGAUUCUUAUCACUUUCUUUUUCGAUGUUUCUUCUGAGCAUGAAUAUCCUUGUGAGGUUGGCAAUGAAUCUUCUGGUUGGAAUUUCAAUGGCUAUUAAGUACUUAUUGGUUAAGUACCAUAACAGCGUUUUGAGCUGAUCAGGGAAAUCAUCUUCCUUCCAGAUGAGAGGAUGAAUGAAAGGAUAAUUUGAAUUUAACCCAAAAGGAUAAAAAAUCGAACCUCCAUUGAAUCUGAAUAGGUCUAUGUGGCACUGCCAUAUGAGGUUCUCCAGGUUCUCAAUAAGACUGUCAUUCUGGAUUUGAUGAAUAAUCUCCUGAGGAAAUUUCCAGCUUGGCAAGUCUUUGAUCUUCUCAAUCUUAUAUUUGACACCAUGAUUGAGCAUAUGGAAAGCAGGUCUCUUGAUGUACAUGUUGAUCUCAGCUGGUGCUUUGGGUCUUGACAGGAAAUCAGCAAGCACAUUCUUUUUUCCAUGAAUAUGUUUGGUUUCAAAAGAGUAUUUUGAGAACCAUUCAGCCCAUCGAAGCAGUUGAGAGUUUGGAAUAUGUUUUUGUUUAAAUUUGGUCAUCUGUGGGAAAGAUGCCAUGUCUAAUUCUACCAAAAAGUGAUGGCCAAUGAGAUGAAACUCAAAUUUUUUGAUUCCAUUUUUUACUACUAGGAUUUCUUUGAAAGUGGAAUGAUAAUGCAUUUCAGCUGGAGAGAACUUUCCACUUUUGUGAGCACAGAGGUGUUUCUUACCAUCAAUUUCUUCAAAGAGGACGAUUGCCCAGUAUUCAUCACUGGCGUCAGUUUGAAGAAUUCUUUUACCUGUUGAUGGUAUUUGCAAUGGUGGGAGAUUCUGCAUAAUCUCCUUAAGCUCAGCAACUGCUUUAGUUUGAGUUUUUCCCCAAGGUGGGGGAUUCUUCUUUAACAUCGAUUGCAAAGGAAUCAGGAGCUUUGCAAUAUUUAGGACAAAAUCUCUGAGAUAAUUAAUUAUCCCGAGAAAUUGCUGAACUUGUUUUGUUGUGAAGUUGUCUUCAGGAAACUUCAAUAGUUCUUGAGCGAUGUGUGGCCCUGGAUAGUACGUACCUUUAUUAAGGUGCAUACCAAGAAAUUCAAUUUCUGUUUGAGCAAUAUUCAUUUUCCUUUGAGAAAGCAUAAUGCCAUGUUUUUUCACGAUUUCUGCAAAUUGCUCGAGGAGUUGACAGUGUGAUUGUUCAUCAGGGCUGUAGAGCAGAAUAUCAUCGAUAUACACUGCUGCACUUGGCAAAAUUGGUUGGAAAAUGCGACACAUGGCCUUUUGGAAAAGGGAUGGUGCU